UAUGAAAUGUAAAUAUCUGACAUGUGAACCCCAAAGAGGUCGAAACACACAGGUUGAGAACCACUGAACAAGAGCCAAAGAAACCACAGUCAAGGUUGCUGUACAGAAACAGUCACCAAGCCAGGAUGUGAGGGCACCAGUCUGGCACCCGCCACCACAUAAACUGGGCGAGAUAAUGCCCCUAAGCCCAUAAGCCUAUAAGGACAUUCCUAUGCUUGGUAAAGGGAUUUUGAAGAUGUGACUGUUGAAGAAUUUAAGACGAAGAGAGUAUCCGUGGUUAUGCAAGUACAGAGGACUUCCCCAGCUGACCAGGGAGAGAGACCGCGCUGCUGGGUUUGGGACAAGAAAAGGAGAAGUGGCAGACGGAAAAAUCUCCUCGAAACUUCAGGGAAGAAUGCUCCUUCUGACGCCGAUUCUAGCCUCCCGGGCUUGUGUCAUACUUUUGACCAUAUGACUAUAAGAAAACAAAUUGUGUUGUUGAAAGCCCCUACACUCGUCCCUGUAGCGACAGGAGAAAAUGGUUCCUGAGUUAAUAAGCUCAUUUUCCAGAUGCUUCUCAUCAGUAAGAAGAUGUAAUAAGAAUGGUGUGAGGUGGAGAACUGACGAGAGAGCAGACAGACCUUGGUGUAAGGGAUUUGACCAUGACUUGGACCAGCUGAAUAAAUACCGUAUAUUUAUCUGGCUCUCUGGGUCUUACCCAAGCCUUUUUACAGCUACCAGGUGUGUUACAGGCAUGGUUUUCUAUGAAGCAGUCAAACUAUAAACAAGGAAUCCUUACAGAUAAUAACAUCUUUAAAAAAGAAAAGGAAAGAAAGACAGAAAGUUGAAGAAAAACAGAAUCAUCAAUUUCCAACAGAAAUGCCAGUUGUUUUCAAACUCACAGGGCCAUGGAUGCAGGAACUUCUUUGGUACCGUUGAGUGUCACGCAGUGUCUAUCUUCUGUGCUUUCCACCCUCCCAGUGGCGAGUUCUGUUUAGAACUGUCCCAUGGCUGCUGUACCCACCACACCCCAGGCCCAUUCCAGUGACCCUUCCACAGUGUUUUGUGCAUAGAAUGGGAGAGCUUCCAAAAUGUUAGAUGGGUAAAUAAAGCAUCCUGCUUAGUUAGCAA